UACGUAGGGUGCGAGCGUUAAUCGGAAUUACUGGGCGUAAAGCGUGCGCAGGCGGUUUUGUAAGCCAGAUGUGAAAUCCCCGGGCUUAACCUGGGAAUGGCAUUUGGGACUGCAAGGCUGGAGUGCGGCAGAGGAGACUGGAAUUCCUGGUGUAGCAGUGAAAUGCGUAGAUAUCAGGAGGAACACCGGUGGCGAAGGCGGGUCUCUGGGCAACUACUGACGCUGAGGAGCGAAAGCGUGGGGAGCGAACAGG
rnacentral:rRNA from 1 species